rnacentral:rRNA from 1 species
UAUAGAUGGAUCCGCGCUGCAUUAGCUAGUUGGUAAGGUAACGGCUUACCAAGGCAACGAUGCAUAGCCGACCUGAGAGGGUGAUCGGCCACACUGGAACUGAGACACGGUCCAGACUCCUACGGGAGGCAGCAGUAGGGAAUCUUCCGCAAUGGGCGAAAGCCUGACGGAGCAACGCCGCGUGAGUGAUGAAGGUCUUCGGAUCGUAAAACUCUGUUAUUAGGGAAGAACAUAUGUGUAAGUAACUGUGCACAUCUUGACGGUACCUAAUCAGAAAGCCACGGCUAACUACGUGCCAGCAGCCGCGGUAAUACGUAGGUGGCAAGCGUUAUCCGGAAUUAUUGGGCGUAAAGCGCGCGUAGGCGGUUUUUUAAGUCUGAUGUGAAAGCCCACGGCUCAACCGUGGAGGGUCAUUGGAAACUGGAAAACUUGAGUGCAGAAGAGGAAAGUGGAAUUCCAUGUGUA